UACGUAGGGUGCGAGCGUUGUCCGGAAUUAUUGGGCGUAAAGAGCUCGUAGGCGGUGUGUCGCGUCGGCCGUGAAAACCUGCAGCUUAACUGUGGGCUUGCGGUCGAUACGGGCAUCACUGGAGUUCGGCAGGGGAGACUGGAAUUCCUGGUGUAGCGGUGAAAUGCGCAGAUAUCAGGAGGAACACCGGUGGCGAAGGCGGGUCUCUGGGCCGGAACUGACGCUGAGGAGCGAAAGCGUGGGGAGCGAACAGG
rnacentral:rRNA from 1 species